rnacentral:tRNA from 1 species
AGAGGUGGCUGAGUGGUUUAAGGCACACGCCUGGAAAGCGUGCGGGGUCGAAAGGCCCUCGAGAGUUCGAAUCUCUCCCUCU